CCUACGGGAGGCAGCAGUGGGGAAUCUUAGACAAUGGGCGCAAGCCUGAUCUAGCCAUGCCGCGUGAGUGACGAAGGCCUUAGGGUCGUAAAGCUCUUUCGCCAGAGAUGAUAAUGACAGUAUCUGGUAAAGAAACCCCGGCUAACUCCGUGCCAGCAGCCGCGGUAAUACGGAGGGGGUUAGCGUUGUUCGGAAUUACUGGGCGUAAAGCGUACGUAGGCGGAUUAGUCAGUCAGAGGUGAAAUCCCAGGGCUCAACCCUGGAACUGCCUUUGAUACUGCUAGUCUUGAGUUCGAGAGAGGUGAGUGGAAUUCCGAGUGUAGAGGUGAAAUUCGUAGAUAUUCGGAGGAACACCAGUGGCGAAGGCGGCUCACUGGCUCGAUACUGACGCUGAGGUACGAAAGUGUGGGGAGCAAACAGGAUUAGAUACCCUGGUAGUCCACACCGUAAACGAUGAAUGCCAGACGUCGGGGAGCUUGCCCUUCGGUGUCACACCUAACGGAUUAAGCAUUCCGCCUGGGGAGUACGGUCGCAAGAUUAAAACUCAAAUGAAUUGACGG
rnacentral:rRNA from 1 species